UACGUAGGGGGGCUAGCGUUGUCCGGAAUCAUUGGGCGUAAAGAGCGUGUAGGCGGUCCGGUAAGUCCGCUGUGAAAGUCGGGGGGCUCAACCCUCGAAUGCCGGUGGAUACUGUCGGGCUAGAGUGCGGAAGAGGCGAGUGGAAUUCCUGGUGUAGCGGUGAAAUGCGCAGAUAUCGAGGAGAACACCUUAUGCGAAGGCAGCUCGCUGGGACGUAACUGACGCUGAGACGCGAAAGCCAGGGGAGCAAACGGG
rnacentral:rRNA from 1 species